rnacentral:lncRNA from 1 species
UUGACAUCCAUCACACACAUACACACACAAUCACACACAAUGCACCCCUUACACACAAAGACAAUGAACCCCUUGCACACAGAAAAACACACAAUGCAUUACACACACAAUGCAUUACAUACACACACACACGCAAUGCAACCCUUACACACAAUGCAUCCCUUGCACACACAGAAACACACAAUGCAUUCCUUACACACACUCAAUGCACCCCUUACAGACUCACACACUUCAUCCCUUACAUACACAGAAACACACCUUGCAGCCCUUACACAUACAAACACAGAUUCACACAAUGCAUUCCUUACACACAAAUCAGGACAUCCCCUACACACUCCAUCCCCUGUGAACAAACUCAUUGGUGGAAAAUGAAGGUGGACCCUGGGACCCAGACCUUGAGCUGUGUAAAGGGCCCCCAAAAAAUGGAGCUGCUUCUCGUUCUCCCAGAACAUUGAUUUGUGUGACCACAGUUACAAACAGCCUCCAGAGAUCCUGUUAUACACCAGACCAGUGGAGCCAGACUGCAGCUAGAGCCCAUCAUCAUCCUCAUCUGCUUGUAAGUAGGUAAUCUAGUAUAUUAUUCGUG